AACGAACGCUGGCGGCAUGCUUAACACAUGCAAGUCGAACGAUGGCUUCGGCCAUAGUGGCGGACGGGUGAGUAGCGCGUGGGAACCUGCCCCGAGGUACGGAAUAACCGCUGGAAACGGCGGCUAAUACCGUAUGAGCCCUGAGGGGGAAAGAUUUAUCGCCUUGGGAGGGCCCGCGUCCGAUUAGGUAGUUGGUGAGGUAAAGGCUCACCAAGCCUGCGAUCGGUAGCUGGUCUGAGAGGAUGAUCAGCCACACUGGGACUGAGACACGGUCCAGACUCCUACGGGAGGCAGCAGUGGGGAAUUUUGGACAAUGGGGGCAACCCUGAUCCAGCAAUGCCGCGUGAGUGAAGAAGGCCU
rnacentral:rRNA from 1 species